AUGAUACAAUCCCAUCAAGAACCAUAUCUUCUAAAAGACCAACCUUUCCAGCUUAACACCAACCUGAAAAAUGACACACAAGUUUUGAGUUCAUAAACCAAAAGCUUCUUCAAAAAAUAAAAUUGCAGAUACGAGAUAAACAAUGGGAUGUAAAACAUGUAACAUUGCCAAAUUUCAAAACAAACGAUUUGUCGACGAAUUUUAAGACGAGAUUAAUCUUUCAUGUGGGAUUAUAAACAAGCUUAGUAAAUCUGGAUCAUCCAUUUUAUUCGAAACUAAAACGAAUUAGACGAUCCAACAGAAGAAAACUCAAAACAUGACGCAAAAUAAAUAAAAAGAAACGGAUCGAAUCAGGAAAAGAGAUAACGAACCUUCGGGUGAGAGAGAAAGA